UACGGAGGGAGCUAGCGUUGUUCGGAAUUACUGGGCGUAAAGCGCGCGUAGGCGGUUACUCAAGUCAGAGGUGAAAGCCCGGAGCUCAACUCCGGAACUGCCUUUGAAACUAGGUGACUAGAAUCUUGGAGAGGCGAGUGGAAUUCCGAGUGUAGAGGUGAAAUUCGUAGAUAUUCGGAAGAACACCAGUGGCGAAGGCGACAUACUGGCUCAUUACUGACGCUGAGGCUCGAAAGCGUGGGGAGCAAACAGG
rnacentral:rRNA from 1 species